rnacentral:rRNA from 1 species
GAGCGCAGGCGGGAAGGUAAGUCUAUCUUAAAAGUGCGGGGCUCAACCCCGUGAGGGGAUAGAAACUAUCAUUCUUGAGUGCAGGAGAGGAAAGCGGAAUUCCUAGUGUAGCGGUGAAAUGCGUAGAUAUUAGGAGGAACACCAGUGGCGAAGGCGGCUUUCUGGACGACAACUGACGCUGAGGCGCGAAAGUGUGGGGAGCAAACA